rnacentral:lncRNA from 1 species
ACAGUCACACACGCUGACCUCUAAGGUGGUCACUUGGUCUUUAUUCUGGUUAUCCAUGAGCUUGAGAUUGAUUUUGUAGUCACCCACCUCUAAGGCCAUCUUUGGCUUCAAAAUGAUAGAUUCUUGGGCUGGAGAAAGCAAUAAAAAGAAAUGAUGAGACCAGGGGAGGAAAAUAAAAAGCUCAUUCCAGAAUAAAAUUGCUAGUGAACUAAAGACACCCGCAAGCCGAGUGAAGAGAGCAGAGCUGCUUGGGUUUUAUUUAGGAGGCACAAAGAUGGGGGCUUCAUUCACAUCCAGCACAUCCACGGUGACGGUGGCUGUGGAGGUGGUGAGAGAGACCUCAAAAGACAGAGUCUCACUCUGUUGCCCAGGCCAGGGUGCAGUAGCACGAUCUUGGCUCACUACAACCUCUGUCUUCCAGGCUCAAGCGAUUCUCCUGCUUCAGCCUCCCAAGCAGCAGGGAUUACAAGUGUGCACCACCACGCCCAGUUAAUUUUUGUAUUUUUGGUAGAGACAGGUUUUCACCAUGUUGGCCAGGCUGGUCCCAAACUCCCGACCUCAG